UACGGAGGGUGCAAACGUUGCUCGGAAUUAUUGGGCGUAAAGCGCACGUAGGCGGUUUGUUAUGUCGGAUGUGAAAGCCCUCGGCUUAACCGAGGAAGUGCAUCCGAAACUGGCAAGCUUGAGUACAGAAGAGGGUCUCGGAAUUCCCGGUGUAGAGGUGAAAUUCGUAGAUAUCGGGAGGAACACCAGUGGCGAAGGCGGAGACCUGGGCUGAUACUGACGCUGAGGUGCGAAAGCGUGGGGAGCAAACAGG
rnacentral:rRNA from 1 species